UAAUCGAAAAAAUUAAAUUAGGAAGAGAGAAAUACCUUAAACUUUUUGAGAAGAUUCUUGAGACGGUAGAGUCUCGUGCUGAUAACGUAUUAUGAAAUAAUAUAAGAACGAGAACAAUAAUACAAGAACAAGAACAAUAGAGAGAAAGGUAGAGAGAGCAGUAUUCUUAUUAAUACUUUUGGGAUGAUUUACAAUGGGGUAAGACCCCUCUAUUUAUAGGAAGAUAAAAGACUUAGCCUUGAAGUAAGACUCUUCUUAUAAGAUAGACAUUCACCUUAAAUAGAGUUCUAUUUAUAACAA
rnacentral:lncRNA from 1 species